rnacentral:tRNA from 1 species
GUGUGUGUGUUUCAGUGGGUAAAGUGCCUGCCAUGCAAGCAUGAGGACCUGAGUUCUAAACUCUGCACACAGA